UACGGGGGGGGGUAAGCGUUGUUCGGAAUUACUGGGCGUAAAGGGCUCGUAGGCGGCCAACUAAGUCGGACGUGAAAUCCCUCAGCUUAACUGGGGAACUGCGUCCGAUACUGGAUGGCUUGGAUUUGGGAGAGGGAUGCGGAAUUCCAGGUGUAGCGGUGAAAUGCGUAGAUAUCUGGAGGAACACCCGUGGCUAAGGCGGCUCUCUAGUACGGUACUGACGCUGAGACGCGAAAGCGUGGGGAGCGAACAGG
rnacentral:rRNA from 1 species